GACGAACGCUGGCGGCGUGCUUAACACAUGCAAGUCGUACGGUAAGGCCCUUUCGGGGGUACAGGAGGGGCGAACGGUUGAGUAACACGUGAGUAACCUGCCCACAACUUUGGGAUAACGCUAGGAAACUGGUGCUAAUACUGGAUAUGUGCUCCUGCUGCAUGGUGGGGGUUGGAAAGCUCCGGCGGUUGUUGAUGGACUCGCGGCCUAUCAGCUUGUUGGUGGGGUAGUGGCCUACCAAGGCGGCGACGGGUAGCCGGCCUGAGAGGGUGACCGGCCACAUUCGGAAUGAGAUACGGCCCAGACCCCAACGGGAGGCAGCAGUGGGGAAUAUUGAACAAUGGGCGCAAGCCUGAUGCAGCAACGCCGCGUGCGGGAUGACGGCCUACGGGUUGUAAAUCGCAUUCAGCAGGGACGAAGCUUUUUGUGACGGUAACUGCAGAAGAAGCACCGGCUAACUACGUG
rnacentral:rRNA from 1 species